rnacentral:tRNA from 1 species
GGGCGAUUAGCUCAGCUGGCAGAGCGGCUCGUUUACACCGAGUAGGUCGGCGGUUCGAACCCGUCAUCGCCCA